GUGCGAAGACAUUGAGUAGAAUGGCAUCGGUAAUAUUGGAUAAGCUCACUAUUAGAUUCAGAAGCUGAGAAAUUGUAAUAGACGAUGCGUGGGCUCCGCCUCUUUCCAACAUGAAAUCCUCAAUGCCUGAAAAGUCUGGUAAAUCAUCUGAAGUAGGAACAGAGGUGUCUGACUUGCUCAACGUAGUAGGUCUACCCAAAAUAAAGCUAACAAAAACAUCUGC